rnacentral:rRNA from 1 species
UACGAAGGGGGGCUAGCGUUACUCGGAAUUACUGGGCGUAAAGGGCGCGUAGGCGGCGCUCCAAGUUAGGCGUGAAAGUCCUGGGCUCAACCUGGGAACUGCCUUUGAUACUGGGUAUCUUUGAGUCCGGAAGAGGUGAGUGGAAUUCCCGAGUGUAGAGGUGAAAUUCGUAGAUUAGUUGGGAAGAACACCGGUGGCGAAGGCGGCUCACUGGACUGGUAUUGACGCUGAUGUGCGAAAGCGUGGG